CCUACGGGGUGCAGCAGUGAGGAAUAUUGGUCAAUGGACGAGAGUCUGAACCAGCCAAGUAGCGUGAAGGAUGACUGCCCUAUGGGUUGUAAACUUCUUUUAUAUGGGAAUAAAACGUUCCACGUGUGGGAUUUUGUAUGUACCAUAUGAAUAAGGAUCGGCUAACUUCGUGCCAGCAGCCGCGGUAAUACGGAGGAUCCGAGCGUUAUCCGGAUUUAUUGGGUUUAAAGGGAGCGUAGGUGGAUUGUUAAGUCAGUUGUGAAAGUUUGCGGCUCAACCGUAAAAUUGCAGUUGAAACUGGCAGUCUUGAGUACAGUAGAGGUGGGCGGAAUUCGUGGUGUAGCGGUGAAAUGCUUAGAUAUCACGAAGAACUCCGAUUGCGAAGGCAGUUCACUGGACUGCAACUGACACUGAGGCUCGAAAGUGUGGGUAUCAAACAGGAUUAGAUACCCCAGUAGUC
rnacentral:rRNA from 1 species